CAGUGCUCUGUACUUACUUUUUUGUUCUUCUUCCCGCCAUUGCUGCAGACAGUGGCUCCGGGGCUCCAAUUGGCUGGGAAAUCUGUGCAGAUGGGGAACCAGACACCACCUUUAAGUGUUUCAGUCGACUUCCAGAACAGCUGAAUGGUGAUAUUAUCCUAAUUUGCCAAAUCUCAGGGAUGGAGAUGUGCUCGAAUGAAACGCCCAUUCAUUUCACUUUACGUUACAAUGACAAUGACCAUGCAUGCGCAGUGGAAAACCAGCUAGAAUACAAAUGUUCUCUUGA